UACGUAGGGUCCGAGCGUUGUCCGGAAUUACUGGGCGUAAAGAGCUCGUAGGUGGUUUGUCGCGUUGUUCGUGAAAACUCACAGCUCAACUGUGGGCGUGCGGGCGAUACGGGCAGACUUGAGUACUGCAGGGGAGACUGGAAUUCCUGGUGUAGCGGUGGAAUGCGCAGAUAUCAGGAGGAACACCGGUGGCGAAGGCGGGUCUCUGGGCAGUAAACUGACGCUGGAGGAGCG
rnacentral:rRNA from 1 species